UGUGUGUUUGAUGUCAAUUUUAAGUGUGUGUUUGAUGCCAAUGCAAAGAGAAAACUUGACUCUAAGAAAUGUAGAUCUACCUCCACGUGUACAGUCAUGUGCUAAAUGUGUUUGGCUUCUAGAAAGCCUUAUGGAACACAUGAAAAAUAAGUUCUGCACAUAUGGAGGGGAAAAUCAAUAAUGUCGCCCCUAUGAUGAUAAACACACCCCUCCUUAUGUAGCAAUGUCCACUUUACCCUUCACCAUGCUCUUGGGUUGUUCUUUAUUUGGUGGGCUUGGGCCCCGCGUAUCAUCCCCUCCCCCUUGGAAAGGAUUUGUCCUCAAAUCUGAUGGUUUGCCUGAGGACUUAUUUUUGUAGACUUCACUAGAAUUCCGCCAGGGUCAAAU
rnacentral:lncRNA from 1 species